rnacentral:RNase_P_RNA from 1 species
UUGGUAAAUCGGGUGAUUACUAUCAGCCCGCGUGGGGUGGAUAGAGGAAAGUCCGAACACUCAUUUGGCAUUAUCUUAAGAGGUGCCAAAAACAGUAGCGGGUAACGCCCGUCUGGAGCAAUCCAAGAGAUGCGAGCAGAGACGUUCUGAGGCGAAAGCCAAAGAACACCCUUCGGGGUGAAUCUCGACAGUAAUGUCGAGGGUGAAACGGCUAAACUCUUACUGGGGUGCAAGAGCAGCGUCCUUCAGCAAGCUCAGAAGCAAUUCCUAGCUUGUUAGAGUUCGAAAAGUUAGCUCGCUUGAGCCGUUCAGCAAUGAACGACCUAGAUAAAUAAUUACACAAAAACAGAAUUCGGCUUAUAGAUUUGCCAAGCAA